AUUUCUCAAUUUUCUCUCUCUCUUUCUAGAGACAAGGUUUAGUUUGUUAUUGUUGCUGCAAUUCCAGCCAAAAUUACAACACACCAAACUCCUUCACAAACUGUCUUAUACAAUCCAAGAAGAGCAGUUCCAUGGUCACAUAUUAUCAAGAAUCUCUCUAAUUUGUAUGCAUGUAUGUUUUUUCGAUUUUUUGUUCUUUUGAAUUGAUCAUCAUUUUUCUUUUUAAGUUUUCAUUUGAUUACUGUUCAUGUAGACAGGCAUGGUAUUAAUUUUGUUUGAAGAUAUCUUCCAGAUGAUGGUCAAUUAGCUUCUGUGGAAGUAUGCUUGUUCGAAGAUACCUUCCAGAUGAUGUUCGAAGGCAUGGCAUGCGUGUUUUAAAUCAAAAUCUCUCUAAUUUCUGUGGAAGUAUAUGUUGUUGGAUUUUGUUUAUUGCUAUAGGCUUGGUGUUUAAAUUUUUUUUUUUCAAUAUUUCUCGCGCGCACGGAGCAGCUGCUCCAUGUGAGAGUAGCUGCCCUCACUUUAUUUAUUUAUUUAUUAUUAUUUUUUUUUAAGUAGUGGCGUUUGUUUUGGCCCAUUAUUAUUUUUUAAUAGAUAGAUUUGGUUAGCUCCCCUCCCAUUAUUAUUAUUAUUAUUAUUAUUAUUAUUAUUAUUAUUAUUAUUAUUAUUAGUGGCUUUUGUUUUAGCCCUUUAUUUUUUUUUAAUAUAUAGAUUUGCUUUUCUGAUUUUAUUUAGCAAGUUUAUGUUUUUAAUCCUCUUGAAAAUCGUAAUCCCCAUAUGCGAAAUACCUCGUUCAUCUCUAAUUGAUUACCUCUUAACUUUUCUCACACGGAUUUGAUAUUUGAUUUUCGAAUGUAUUGGUAAGAUAUUAAGAUUUUAAUGGUUUCCUUCAUUUUUCAGCUAACCCCAUUUUUUCUUUGUCAUUUUCUCUCAUUUUAUUCUCUUCCUCAACAAAAAAGCAAGCGACAAAUGCUCGUACAAUGUCAGAUUUCCCACUACACAAACAUCACUUUUCUCUUGAAACGGCUUCACAAGUUGCAUUUAUUUUAACUCGUGUAAAGGAUCUAGAAUUUUUUUUUCCAAUUUCCAAAGUAUUCAUUUUUAUUUUUAUUUAUUUAUUUAUUUUGCAUUGUGUACCAUUUUCUAAUAUGAAAUUUUCCCAUUUGCAAGCUUUUGUAUUUAUAAGUAUUGGAACGUUCUU
rnacentral:lncRNA from 1 species